AACCUUCGCAAUGUGCGAAAGCACGACGAGGUUAUUCCGAGUGAUUUCCGCUGAGGAAAUCUUUUCUCAGAUCUAAAACGUCUGGGGAAUAAGGGGAGGGCAAGUCUGGUGUCAGCCGCCGCGGUAAUACCAGCUCCUCGAGUGGUCAGGGCGUUUAUUGGGCCUAAAGCAUCCGUAGCCGGCUCAGUUGGUCUCCUGUUAAAUCCAACGGCACAACCGUUGGCCCGCGGGAGAUACCGCUGGGCUAGGAGGCGGGAGAGGCGGACGGUACUCCGAGGGUAGGGGUAAAAUCCUUUGAUCCCCGGAAGACCACCAGUGGCGAAGGCGGUCCGCCAGAACGCGCUCGACGGUGAGGGAUGAAAGCUGGGGGAGCGAACCGGAUUAGAUACCCGGGUAGUCCCAGCCGUAAACGAUGUGAGCUAGGUGACACGACGCCUUCGGGGCGUCGUGGUGCCGCAGGGAAGCCGUUAAGCUCGCCGCCUGGGGAGUACGGACGCAAGUCUGAAACUUAA
rnacentral:rRNA from 1 species